UACGAAGGGGGCGAGCGUUGUUCGGAUUUACUGGGCGUAAAGGGCGCGCAGGCGGCUCAUUUUGUCAGGCGUGAAAGCCCCGGGCUUAACCUGGGAACUGCGUUUGAUACGGAUGGGCUAGAGUUCGGGAGAGGAGAGUGGAAUUCCCAGUGUAGAGGUGAAAUUCGUAGAUAUCGGGAGGAACACCAGUGGCGAAGGCGGGUCGCUGGACAGUUCCUGACACUGAGGCACGAAAGCCAGGGGAGCAAACGGG
rnacentral:rRNA from 1 species